AACGGGCCACAGCUCCCAAUUGCUCAUGGAAAUGGUCCAAAUUCCCAGGUUAGGUAUUCAAGGUUUGGUGAAACCUGCAUAGUCCUGUUUAUACUAUUCAUGCCACUGUGGGGAAAGGGCUUGUGUCCGGGAGCUAGGAAGCCUGCAUUCUGGACCAAUCUCUAAAUACUGUGUGACCUUGGUCCUUAAUUAUCCCCAGGUCUCAGUUUCCCUAUCUGUAAGAUCUGCAUAUGGAGUCUGUGAGGCAAUUAAGAUUCCUAACCCCAAGCCAGUCAUUGCCAAGUUCUGACCCCUCUCCAUCUAAGCAUCUCCUAAAUUCAGUCCUUUUUCACUCUAUUCAUACUAUGGCCAGUGCCUCAACUCAGCCCUCAUUUCUCUCUUCCAGACCAGUGCAGUGGCCUCUUCUGUUGUCUUCCAACCUCUGCCCACCUUUCUCCACACUCCGUUAGAGUGACUCAGGGUUAGCCUUGGGCUGUGUGAACACUUGAAGUUAGUAGUUUGGAGCCAGGCUGGACAGAGCCCUGAGUGCAAGACCAAGGAGUUCGGAUUUUAAAUCCCACAAAAGAUGGGGAUGCAAUGGUUUUCAGGCAGGGAAUGGUAUGGCACUUGUGUUCUGGAAACAUCUCUGAUAUAGAGCAAGGAAAGUGGAUUACAGGGAACCACAGAAGACAAGAGAAGACUGGGACCAUGACACCAGAGAAGGAAAAUAAGGCUCCAUGUGGACACUGCUCAUGAGAAUGAAUUUUAGAGAUCUUCUGACAGUGGACCUUGUUUUCUGUGAGCUUCAGAGGACUGCUCAGGAGAAUAUAGGAUUCUCUGUAGGGUAUGUGCUCGGCCUACCAUUACAUCGCAGAAAUUGGGAUGGAUACAGUGUCCCCUGGCAUUGCUUUUCUCCAGGCCCAAUGGAUUAUAGGUGGUGUGGUUUCUGGCCCCUCCCAGUGUACAGGAUUCCUUAUCAGAACUUGGCGUCUACUGAAUUCAGUCUUUGGAGAACGCAGCUGGGAAGACUGAGGCCCAGGGAAGGAUAGCGUAUGCCCAGCUGCCCCAGUGUGUUAGAGGUUGGCCUGUGUCCAGAAUCCAAGGCUGUGGGUCCUAGCUGAGAGUCCUUCUCUCAUGUUACAUUCCCUCUCUGUGGCACGGGGCACUGAACGAGGCACUGGCAAGAGAUUUUUAGAGAGAGAAGAGCAACUGCUCACAAGAGCUUGUCCUCCACGAAGAGAAGCCUGCCCUGCAGGAGCUCAGAUUCCAGAAAGAAGGCUUGGGCUAGGGAAGGCUUCCCAGGCCUUCCCUACAGAAAAGCACAUGCCCCUCCUGGGCCAAAUGCAAAGGCACCAUCCAGCCCUCAUUCCGCUCAGUCACCGGUGCACAUAUGUGUGCAUAUGCACAUGAGUGAAUGUGCGCAUG
rnacentral:lncRNA from 1 species